rnacentral:rRNA from 1 species
CUCUAUACGGAGUUACAAAGGACGACAUUAGACGAAUCAUCUGGAAAGAUGAAUCAAAGAAGGUAAUAAUCCUGUAGUCGAAAAUGUUGUCUCUCUUGAGUGGAUCCUGAGUACGACGGAGCACGUGGAAUUCCGUCGGAAUCUGGGAGGACCAUCUCCUAAGGCUAAAUACUCUCUAGUGACCGAUAGUGAACCAGUACCGUGAGGGAAAGGUGAAAAGCACCCCGGAAGGGGAGUGAAAUAGAACCUGAAACC